rnacentral:rRNA from 1 species
UACGUAGGGUGCAGGCGUUAAUCGGAAUUACUGGGCGUAAAGCGUGCGCAGGCGGCUUUGCAAGACAGAUGUGAAAUCCCCGGGCUCAACCUGGGAACUGCAUUUGUGACUGCAAGGCUAGAGUACGGUAGAGGGGAUGGAAUUCCGCGUGUAGCAGUGAAAUGCGUAGAUAUGCGGAGGAACACCGAUGGCGAAGGCAAUCCCCUGGACCUGUACUGACGCUCAUGCACGAAAGCGUGGGGAGCAAACAGG